AUUGAACGCUGGCGGAAUGCUUUACACAUGCAAGUCGAACGGCAGCACGGGGGCAACCCUGGUGGCGAGUGGCGAACGGGUGAGUAAUACAUCGGAACGUGCCCAGUCGUGGGGGAUAACGUAGCGAAAGCUACGCUAAUACCGCAUACGAUCUAUGGAUGAAAGCGGGGGAUCGCAAGACCUCGCGCGAUUGGAGCGGCCGAUGACAGAUUAGGUAGUUGGUGGGGUAAAGGCCUACCAAGCCGACGAUCUGUAGCUGGUCUGAGAGGACGACCAGCCACACUGGGACUGAGACACGGCCCAGACUCCUACGGGAGGCAGCAGUGGGGAAUUUUGGACAAUGGGCGCAAGCCUGAUCCAGCAAUGCCGCGUGCAGGAUGAAGGCCUUCGGGUUGUAAACUGCUUUUGUACGGAACGAAACGGUCUUCUCUAAUACAGGGGGCUAAUGACGGUACCGUAAGAAUAAGCACCGGCUAACUACGUGCCAGCCGCCGCGGUAACAC
rnacentral:rRNA from 1 species